AUACAUCUCGAUAUCACUCGAAUCCAGAAACACUGUAUAUAUAGAAAGCUAAAGUUAGGAUUAGAUUCCAGCGGUCAUUUUUUUUAAAUUAAAUGAUAAAUACGGCUGUUCUAGAAUCCGUUAUGCAAGUAUAUACGUAUCAAACGAACGAAAAAAUACUUGAAAAAAGUAGCUUUUGAAGUCAUCUUCAAGAUUCUAUUACGUAUUAUCGUCUAAUGAAUAUUCACUUGGCAAAGAUCGACAUUUUUAGAUAUUUAAAAUAGCUCAGGGGAACUAUCGAAACCUCUAAUUACGCCUAUUUUAGAUCCAUUUCGGAUUUAUUAGUAUUUUUUGAUACAUCUCGAUAUCACUCGAAUCCAGAAACACUGUAUAUAUAGAAAGCUAAAGUUAGGAUUAGAUUCCAGCGGUCAUUUUUUUUAAAUUAAAUGAUAAAUACGGCUGUUCUAGAAUCCGUUAUGCAAGUAUAUACGUAUCAAACGAACGAAAAAAUACUUGAAAAAAGUAGUUUUUGAAGUCAUCUUCUAGACAGAAAAUAGUCACCGCAGUUACUAGCUAAUGUAAGCUGCAAUAAUAGGUCAAUCCUAGACCAAAUAAGAAUCGAUCUAUCUUGGCAUUAAGCCAAUUCGUACAACAGCUCUUUCACCCUGCUGCUUUUCGUUAGAACAUUAAUGUUGUUAAACAAGUUUGAGUAAUGUUUCAGAUUUGAGAAAUGCCAUUUCAAUUCUGACAGAUUUUUUUAUUUUUAUUUUCUGAUGUCAGCGACAGUGCGAUUAUUCAGAUUGGCGGAGGAGAAAAUCGCAAUUAAUGGAAUUACCUCGUUGAAAAACAACAAUUCUUUCUUAUAUAAAAUUUUCUAUUUUUUUUUUUUUAUAUUCAUCCAUUUGCUUUAUAUUCUGAUUAGUUUUUUUUAUAUAUAUAUGCAAAAGACGGAAAGAUUCUCGAUACGGUAAGAACGUUUUAUAAAUUAAUGGAUAUCAAAAUUUGAUGGACUGUAUCUAAGUUUUCUCCAGAUAAUUAAAAGAUGUACUUUUAAUACUUUUUCUCGAUAAUUUAUAUUCCUCACAUUCAAUCCCUGGAUGAUGUAGUAAAAAAAAGAAUCUUCGCUCCUUCAGAGGCCUCCCAGUUAUUAAUUAACGAGCUAAAAAUGUGUGGCAUAUUAUUACUAUACUGUAUUUUUUUUUCUACACGAAAGAACGACGGAACGAUCGACGUUGUUUAAGAAUAAAAUUUAUGUAGGCCAGGUAAUUUAUGUUGACUCUUUCCCUCUUACUUUUCUUUAAGAAAAAAUUUCCUUCUACCAUUCCUUCACGACUCUUCGAGAAUCCUUGCGAAACACGUUGUAAUUAUUGCAUAUAACAGUUAAACUGAACCCAUCAAGUUUUUUCUUCUCUAGCAAUAAAAAAAAAAAACAGUAACGUGUAUCGAUAACUGUUACUAUAUAUUUGAAGACGUAUAGACAGUAUUAGUUAUUCAUAACUCAAUUCAUGGAUGGUAUCGUUCAAAAACCGGAGAUUUUUUUUUUUUUGCGUAAGGAGUCAAGAAGUUAAAUUCGUGCAUUCGGUCAGUAAUUACUUUCGUAACAUUUCGGAGGAAAUACGUAACGCCCGAGGCCACAUAAUUUGAAAUUUAGCCAUCUAUCGAGUAGAACAAAUCUCUACUCACGAUUUACCCAUUUUACAAAAGACAUUCGAGCACGAUUUUGUGUCUUAUGUUUGCGGAAACACUAGAGUGCUUAAAAAAAAGGUCAAUUUAAACUAUAGCACCGCUCGCAGAUAAGGUGUGACUCGAUUAUUCUUUCCACCCAAUUGUCUCUCGGUCGUUAUUCCUAAAAUCGUCUAGAGAGAGAGAAUUCCAUGUCAACGAAGGUCGAUCGAUAGAAACGGAUUAAGGAAAGUAGUUUAUCACAGCCAUUGGGGAUGCCUGUCUGGACCGAAAGACGCCAUCGAUGCUGGUUCUCAUUUCCAGUUUCCGGAAUGAUUUUGAGUUCAUAAAUUCGAUUCAAGCGGAACAUGAUCCUAAAACUCAUAUAGAAAUAACAGUCACGAUUCAUUUUAUUGUCGUUGUUAUUAUUUUGACGGUUAUUUUGAAAUUAAGAAGCAUCGUGUCCAUACUUGGAAAUAAUCGAGUAAUAAUCGAUCAAUUCAAUUGGGAAUAACAGUCACGAUUCAUUUUAUUGU
rnacentral:lncRNA from 1 species